GCCGCUUUAGCUCAGUUGGUAGAGCACAUCAUUCGUAAUGAUGGGGUCAGGUGUUCGAAUCACCUAAGCGGCACCA
rnacentral:tRNA from 1 species